GGAGAUAGCUGGUUCUCCGCGAAAUCUAUUUAGGUAGAGCGUCUCGUAUUACCUUCGGGGGUAGAGCACUGGAUGGGCUAGGGGGUCCCAACGACUUACCAAACCUAACCAAACUCCGAAUACCGAAGAGUAGAGCGAGGCAGACACACUGCGGGUGCUAAGGUCCGUAGUGGAGAGGGAAACAGCCCUGACCGCCAGCUAAGGUCCCUAAGUUAUCACUAAGUGGGAAACGAUGUGGGAAUGC
rnacentral:rRNA from 1 species